AGCGACUUAUAUUCUGUAGCAAGGUUAACCGAAUAGGGGAGCCGAAGGGAAACCGAGUCUUAACUGGGCGUUAAGUUGCAGGGUAUAGACCCGAAACCCGGUGAUCUAGCCAUGGGCAGGUUGAAGGUUGGGUAACACUAACUGGAGGACCGAACCGACUAAUGUUGAAAAAUUAGCGGAUGACUUGUGGCUGGGGGUGAAAGGCCAAUCAAACCGGGAGAUAGCUGGUUCUCCCCGAAAGCUAUUUAGGUAGCGCCUCGUGAAUUCAUCUCCGGGGGUAGAGCACUGUUUCGGCAAGGGGGUCAUCCCGACUUACCAACCCGAUGCAAACUGCGAAUACCGGAGAAUGUUAUCACGGGAGACACACGGCGGGUGCUAACGUCCGUCGUGAAGAGGGAAACAACCCAGACCGCCAGCUAAGGUCCCAAAGUCAUGGUUAAGUGGGAAACGAUGUGGGAAGGCCCAGACAGCCAGGAUGUUGGCUUAGAAGCAGCCAUCAUUUAAAGAAAGCGUAAUAGCUCACUGGUCGAGUCGGCCUGCGCGGAAGAUGUAACGGGGCUAAACCAUGCACCGAAGCUGCGGCAGCGACGCUGAUGCGUUGUUGGGUAGGGGAGCGUUCUGUAAGCCUGUGAAGGUGUGCUGUGAGGUAUGCUGGAGGUAUCAGAAGUGCGAAUGCUGACAUAAGUAACGAUAAAGCGGGUGAAAAGCCCGCUCGCCGGAAGACCAAGGGUUCCUGUCCAACGUUAAUCGGGGCAGGGUGAGUCGACCCCUAAGGCGAGGCCGAAAGGCGUAGUCGAUGGGAAACAGGUUAAUAUUCCUGUACUUGGUGUUACUGCGAAGGGGGGACGGAGAAGGCUAUGUUGGCCGGGCGACGGUUGUCCCGGUUUAAGCGUGUAGGCUGGUUUUCCAGGCAAAUCCGGAAAACUAAGGCUGAGGCGUGAUGACGAGGCACUACGGUGCUGAAGCAACAAAUGCCCUGCUUCCAGGAAAAGCCUCUAAGCAUCAGGUAACAUCAAAUCGUACCCCAAACCGACACAGGUGGUCAGGUAGAGAAUACCAAGGCGCUUGAGAGAACUCGGGUGAAGGAACUAGGCAAAAUGGUGCCGUAACUUCGGGAGAAGGCACGCUGAUAUGUAGGUGAAGUCCCUCGCGGAUGGAGCUGAAAUCAGUCGAAGAUACCAGCUGGCUGCAACUGUUUAUUAAAAACACAGCACUGUGCAAACACGAAAGUGGACGUAUACGGUGUGACGCCUGCCCGGUGCCGGAAGGUUAAUUGAUGGGGUCAGCGCAAGCGAAGCUCUUGAUCGAAGCCCCGGUAAACGGCGGCCGUAACUAUAACGGUCCUAAGGUAGCGAAAUUCCUUGUCGGGUAAGUUCCGACCUGCACGAAUGGCGUAAUGAUGGCCAGGCUGUCUCCACCCGAGACUCAGUGAAAUUGAACUCGCUGUGAAGAUGCAGUGUACCCGCGGCAAGACGGAAAGACCCCGUGAACCUUUACUAUAGCUUGACACUGAACAUUGAGCCUUGAUGUGUAGGAUAGGUGGGAGGCUUUGAAGUGUGGACGCCAGUCUGCAUGGAGCCGACCUUGAAAUACCACCCUUUAAUGUUUGAUGUUCUAACGUUGACCCGUAAUCCGGGUUGCGGACAGUGUCUGGUGGGUAGUUUGACUGGGGCGGUCUCCUCCUAAAGAGUAACGGAGGAGCACGAAGGUUGGCUAAUCCUGGUCGGACAUCAGGAGGUUAGUGCAAUGGCAUAAGCCAGCUUGACUGCGAGCGUGACGGCGCGAGCAGGUGCGAAAGCAGGUCAUAGUGAUCCGGUGGUUCUGAAUGGAAGGGCCAUCGCUCAACGGAUAAAAGGUACUCCGGGGAUAACAGGCUGAUACCGCCCAAGAGUUCAUAUCGACGGCGGUGUUUGGCACCUCGAUGUCGGCUCAUCACAUCCUGGGGCUGAAGUAGGUCCCAAGGGUAUGGCUGUUCGCCAUUUAAAGUGGUACGCGAGCUGGGUUUAGAACGUCGUGAGACAGUUCGGUCCCUAUCUGCCGUGGGCGCUGGAGAACUGAGGGGGGCUGCUCCUAGUACGAGAGGACCGGAGUGGACGCAUCACUGGUGUUCGGGUUGUCAUGCCAAUGGCACUGCCCGGUAGCUAAAUGCGGAAGAGAUAAGUGCUGAAAGCAUCUAAGCACGAAACUUGCCCCGAGAUGAGUUCUCCCUGACUCCUUGAGAGUCCUGAAGGAACGUUGAAGACGACGACGUUGAUAGGCCGGGUGUGUAAGCGCAGCGAUGCGUUGAGCUAACCGGUACUAAUGAACCGUGAGGCUUAACCUUACAACGCCGAAGGUGUUU
rnacentral:rRNA from 1 species